UACGGGGGGGGCUAGCGUUGUUCGGAAUUACUGGGCGUAAAGCGCACGUAGGCGGCUUUGUAAGUUAGAGGUGAAAGCCCGGGGCUCAACUCCGGAAUUGCCUUUAAGACUGCAUCGCUAGAAUUGUGGAGAGGGAAGUGGAAUUCCGAGUGUAGAGGUGAAAUUCGUAGAUAUUCGGAAGAACACCAGUGGCGAAGGCGACUUACUGGACACAUAUUGACGCUGAGGUGCGAAAGCGUGGGGAGCAAACAGG
rnacentral:rRNA from 1 species